rnacentral:rRNA from 1 species
GAUGAACGCUGGCGGCGUGCCUAAUACAUGCAAGUCGAGCGAACAGACGAGGAGCUUGCUCCUCUGACGUUAGCGGCGGACGGGUGAGUAACACGUGGAUAACCUACCUAUAAGACUGGGAUAACUUCGGGAAACCGGAGCUAAUACCGGAUAAUAUAUUGAACCGCAUGGUUCAAUAGUUAAAGACGGUUUUGCUGUCACUUAUAGAUGGAUCCGCGCCGCAUUAGCUAGUUGGUAAGGUAACGGCUUACCAAGGCAACGAUGCGUAGCCGACCUGAGAGGGUGAUCGGCCACACUGGAACUGAGACACGGUCCAGACUCCUACGGGAGGAAGCAGUAGGGAAUCUUCCGCAAUGGGCGAAAGCCUGACGUAGCAACGCCGCGUGAGUGAUGAAGGUCUUCGGAUCGUAAAACUCUGUUAUUAGGGAAGAACAAAUGUGUAAGUAACUAUGCACGUCUUGACGGUACCUAAUCAGAAAGCCACGGCUAACUACGUG